rnacentral:tRNA from 1 species
GCCCAGCUGGCUCAGUUGGUAGAGUGUGUGACUCUUGAUCUUGGAGUCAUGAGUUCAAGCCCCAUGUUGGGCA